rnacentral:lncRNA from 1 species
GAGUUGGCUUCUAGAAAGGGAUUCCUGUUUAUCAGAUUUGAUCCAUCAUCCAAUCUGAAUUGAUAAAACCAAAUGCAUUUGAAUCAACAUAUUGGAAUGUUGAAUCAGCUUCAGAUCAAUAAAUUAUGACUCAAAAGUUUUGGAUUGACCACACUCCAAUCUCAUAAUGAAUCGAUAUAUGUGUGUCUUUGAUGCUUGAAAUGAUCAACUCAAAAUAAUGGCAUUGUUUUUGCAUCCGAUCAUAGCAUAUAUUCGUAUGGCUCUAUGAGGUUAUAAAGACUCAAAAUAAUGGCAUUGUUCUUGCAUCCGAUCAUAGAAUAUAUUCGUAUGGCUCUAUGAGGUUAUAGAGACUCAAAAUAAUGGCAAUGUUCUUGCAUCCGAUCAUAGAAUAUAUUCGUAUGGCUAUAUGAGGUUAUAGAGACUCAAAAUAAUGGCAUUGUUCUUGCAUCCGAUCAUAGCAUAUAUUCGUAUGGCUCUAUGAGGUUAUAGAGACACAUAUGCAUAUAGAGAAAGAAUGGUUGUAAGGCGGUCGUAUUAACAAAUUUACUUAAUAAAACAUGUUUUUUAAUCAUAAACUUGUUGUUUCACGAAAUAAUUGAACUAACAAAUUGUGGUAACCAAUGCAGGAAAAAUAAACACGACAAAAGUAAAUUUGAAGCCCAGCUUGAAAAUCAAUUUAUUUAAAGCCAAUUCAUGUUAGUAUCAGAAAAUUAGCAUUAAUAUCUUCACCACCAAACAAUGAGUAAAGUUCAUUUUGAAAAGGAAGAUCCAAGUUAAUAAAAAUAUAGUCUUAUAGAACAAACGUACCUGAAAUUAUAAAUUCUCAAGUUUGUCGGCCACCACAUCUUUCAGCUGACAACAGUCAAGAUCUACAAAAAAGAUAAACCACAUAUUAGACUACUAAAACAAAAUCUAAUGAUAUAACAAAACAAACUAGUGGGAUGGAUACUGUACAAAACCAAACAAAAUCUAAUGACAAUCCCAUCUUCACCUUCCAUGUGUCUUCAUCUGAAUACUGUGCAAAAUUGGGUAAAACUUGCCCCCUCACCAGUUCCUUCAAUGGAAAACCGGUUCCAAAGCUUAUUUUCCCUUAGUAGACUUGGAUCAAAGCUGGCUUGCGACUCCUUAUCAAAGCUUAUUUUCCCUUAAUUGCAUGGACCAAUCAAACAGACCCUUAAUCAAAUAUAACAACAAAGGUAGAAAACCAUGAAUCAAACAGUUGAUAGACAUAUGUAGAAAACAAAACUAGAGACUUAUAUAAUAAUAAAUAAUAGACAAACAAAAGACUUAUCUUCAGGAACUAAUUUGAUGGAGGAAACCAAAUGACCAAUUGCAUGAACAUGAGGGUUUACAUUCGGGUUUAUAAAAGGAUUUCAGAAAAACACGAUUGCCACUCAAAACUCAAAAGGAAAAGGGUUUAGAAAAUGCAGAGAAAUGGUGGUGUAAUGGUUUUGACUUGUAAGUGAGAGUAAACUU